rnacentral:rRNA from 1 species
GACGAACGCUGGCGGCGUGCUUAACACAUGCAAGUCGAACGAUGAAGCCGGAGCUUGCUCCGGUGGAUUAGUGGCGAACGGGUGAGUAACACGUGAGCAAUCUGCCCUUGACUCUGUGAUAACUGCGGGAAACUGUAGCUAAUACCGGAUACGACACCUUGGGGCAUCCCAGGGUGUGGAAAGAAUUUCGGUCAAGGAUGAGCUCGCGGCCUAUCAGCUAGUUGGUGAGGUAAUGGCUCACCAAGGCGACGACGGGUAGCCGGCCUGAGAGGGUGACCGGCCACACUGGAACUGAGACACGGUCCAGACUCCUACGGGAGGCAGCAGUGGGGAAUAUUGCACAAUGGGCGAAAGCCUGAUGCAGCAACGCCGCGUGAGGGAUGAAGGCCUUCGGGUUGUAAACCUCUUUUAGCAGGGAAGAAGCGGAAGUGACGGUACCUGCAGAAAAAGCACCGGCUAACUACGUGCCAGCAGCCGCAGUAA